CCCGGCACAGCUGAGCCAGCCCCCCGCACCGGCCUUGACCAAUCAGGCGUCACGGCGCCUCCGCCAAUGGCGAGCCGGGCGGGCGUACAUAAACACCAGGCCUGAAGCGGCAGCUGUGGCCGGUUGCGUGUGCGGGCUGAGGGUGCGGCCCCGCUGCUGCCCGGACCGCGGAGCCUCGCUCGUGGUUUCCCCUGGUGCGGAGGCGAGUUGUGCUUCCUGCGGGGAGAGAGAAGGGCCUUGGGAAGCUGCUCCAUGAGCCACAGCUGUGCCGAGCCCGGCAGUCUGUCCAGGAUGUCGAGUGCCACCGUGUCCCUGAGGUCACCCUUUCUCCUGCUGGGAGAGCACGAGGUGGAUGGAGAGGAUCCCCAGGCAUCUGCAGGCACAAGGGACUCGUACAGCUGUGAUUUUCCUCCAGCCCUCGUGAGAGGGACUUUCAGGGUACCAUGGGUCAUGUGCCAGCUCUCCUGCUGGAGCUUUUGUCUGCUGUAUUUGAACACAAAGAGUAGAACUAAAGUCAGGGAAUAACUCCUGUCAGCAGCAAGGCCCCGACUGAAGUGGCAGCUGCAGUUGUUCCUGUGGUGUGGGCCAGUGGAACUGCAGGAGAGUGGAAGAGGGCAGAUCCUGUAGGAAUUACCCCUAAGCCAGAGUCUGUACUGUGUCCCAGUGUCCCUGCUUGGCUGUUUGUUGCCCUGCAGGCAGAAGAGCCCAGGCCUGAGAUGGCUGAGUGUUGGUGUGAGCCACAGUGGGUGUCCCUGCCCUCGGGACAGUCCCCAGAGCUGCCUUUGGCAUCCCCUGCUGAAGGGUGGGAGCUGCCCAGAGCCAGCAGCAUCCAGCUGGAGGAUCCAGGAGGAUGCAGCUCCUGUUGUCUGGGAGGAGAAAAUCUGGACUGUGAGAAGGAAGCAAAGAAGCCCUG